UGCCAGUCUCUGUGGCCGGCAUGCUGUCCUCUGAAGAUGCCGGCCACAGGGACUGGCAAAACAUUAGGAAGAACAACCUUCAGAACACAGCCAAAGAGCCCGAAAAACCCACAACAACCAAGAUAAAUAGCAACAAGGGGGGGGAGUUAUAAAUAUAUGUUAUAACUGUGUGGAGUUUUUUUAAACUUUUUAAAAUUACUUUAUUAUUGUUUGUAGGUGAACACAUGUUUUGUUUAUUUGUUGUUACAUUAUUGAAAACUAAUACAAAUAUUUUCUCUCUCUCUCUCUCUUGGGCACCCAUCUUCACCCAUUCACAGUUGACACCAAGUGUUUGUGUAUGUGUGUGUGGUGUUUUCACAGUGUUAGCAUAGCAAAAACUCAUGAACGAGGCUAAGGAGAGUGUUGGUGGGGCCUCUUAUGCCAUUUGGAUCAAGGGAGGAAUGAAGUUAUUGGAUCCGAAACCGGCUGGCUCAGAAGCAGGCCUGUUCUCUUGCCACCUUCUCCCGCCCUGUCGCUGUGCCAAUUCAAAGAUUCAUUGCCAAAAGGCUUUUGAUUCGCGCUUCCCUUUAGGAAGUACAUAGAAGAUUGGAGUAAAAGCAAGCAGUUCCUUGGCAUUCACGUGCUUUUUAAAUUACUCCUGCCAGAACUGGGAUUUCUCAGAGCAAAUGAGAAAAGAGAAGAUGUAUCUAUAGAAUCCAUGACAUCACUUGAAAUAUCACAAAGGCAGGCGUGGACACUAUUCGUGGCUCUGAGUGCUAAGUAGGCACUCUAGCCAUAGAGGGAAGCACAGUGCCAUUUGUUAUCGGAUGCAGAAAUCUAACAGGAAUUUGAGGCGAUGAUCAGAUGCAUUGCCAAGAUCUGUCCAGCAACAUUCCAGAAAAGGACACGCCGUAUCUUAUCCUCUGUCAGCUUUGCACUGCUCAUAAUUGCCACCGGAUCACCUUUAUUGCUGUGGUACAAGUCCUCAUACGGUUAUUUCUUCAGGGGUCUGUGGACUGUUUGCGACCACUUAGGGUGCAUUUCGCUUUUCCACAGUGGUGUAUUUCUGGAUGUUGCUCGAGGCCUUUCACUGCUGGCCACUUUUGCUGACUUCGUUGCUUUGCUUUCCGAGUGGGAUCUACAUAAUCGCUUUGUAAACUUCGACAUCAGUGAAGAUCUGGUCUCUUGUCUGGCUAACUUCCACACAGGAGUCUUCCUGCUGGGAACGCUGCUGAUUGUAUAUCUCAAGCUUAGAACUGAAGUGGACGUAACAGGCAAUCAACUAUGGCUGUUCUGUGGUUUCUACAUGGGCUGCAUUGUCUGCCUUUUGAGCUUCGUCUUAGGUACACAGGCCAUGAUAGAGCAUAAGUCCUCAGAAGAAGAAAAGAUGAACACAGAAAGACAUCUGGAAGAGGUCUAGCAAGGAGACUUCACGAAUCAUUCCUAUUUAGUCCAUCAAUCAUACCCACAAGCACUGGCUUCCCUUUUUGCUGACCCCAGACCAGAUCCUGGAACCUGAUUGGGCAAACAAUGAGGAUUUUAAGUGGCAAUGUCAUUUAACCAGGAGCCAUCAAGAUGUGGAAGGUUUGAGAUACCGAUGGGCGCCUUUGCAACCUUUUGCUUUUAACAUCAUCUUCUCCAAACUGCCUUGUUGGAACUCCUGAAGUAGCUCAUUCAUAAAUAGGAUACUUUAUUUUCCAGCUAUAUGAAAGUACAUUGGCUCCCCGUGGAAGAUUUGUCUUCUUUUCCAGGAUAAGAACAACUUCCACUUAGGAGGGCCCUUGAAAACAUUAAAAAUAAAUCCCUAGUUGAAUUUGAUAUUUCUUAGUCA
ensembl:lncRNA